rnacentral:rRNA from 1 species
UACGUAGGUGGCGAGCGUUGUCCGGAUUUACUGGGCGUAAAGAGCGCGCAGGCGGUCGAUCAAGUCGGAUGUGAAAGCCCCCGGCUCAACUGGGGAGGGUCAUUCGAUACUGGUCGACUCGAAGGCAGGAGAGGGAAGCGGAAUUCCCGGUGUAGUGGUGAAAUGCGUAGAUAUCGGGAGGAACACCAGUGGCGAAGGCGGCUUCCUGGCCUGUUCUUGACGCUGAGGCGCGAAAGCUAGGGGAGCAAACGGG